GUGGGGAAUAUUGGACAAUGGGCGCAAGCCUGAUCCAGCAAUGCCGCGUGGGUGAAGAAGGUCUUCGGAUCGUAAAGCCCUUUCGACAGGGACGAUGAUGACGGUACCUGUAGAAGAAGCCCCGGCUAACUUCGUGCCAGCAGCCGCGGUAAUACGAAGGGGGCUAGCGUUACUCGGAAUUACUGGGCGUAAAGGGCGCGUAGGCGGCUCUGUUAGUCAGGCGUGAAAUUCCUGGGCUUAACCUGGGGACUGCGCUUGAUACUGCAGGGCUUGAGGCCGAGAGAGGGUGGUGGAAUUCCCAGUGUAGAGGUGAAAUUCGUAGAUAUUGGGAAGAACACCGGUGGCGAAGGCGACCACCUGGCUCGGUUCUGACGCUGAGGCGCGACAGCGUGGGGAGCAAACAGGAUUAGAUACUCUUGUAGUCC
rnacentral:rRNA from 1 species